rnacentral:lncRNA from 1 species
CCAACUGUCCACGUGUGGCUGUUGUGUCAUUUUUUUCAUUUGCGGGACCACUGGGACUUCAGCUGCAGGUGGCAGGAGGCUCCAUCCCCAAGUGUCUCCACGGAUAAGGUCAGGCACCAUCCAGCCCACAACCCCUCCACAUCCCUUACCAGUGUGACAUGACGAGACACAAUCACAGCUUCAAAUCACAUCCUUGCUGAACUCACAGAGGACAAUUUAGGCAGGAACCGCACACUGCUAUGACAUAUCCACCCCACUGUGCUUUCUCGAGGAAUGAUGUUCCAUGCCCCCUGCUGAGCAGCCCUGUACAGUGGCCACUUUCCCUGGUAGUAGGUGACGCAUCUACAUGGUGGCCCUAGCAGCCUUCAGCCCUAGAGUCUGACUGCCCUGGUCCAAGCCAUCCCUGCCUUGCUGGCCUCCUGGUGCCCAUGUACCCUGUUGACAUUCCCCUCUCCACCGUCUUCCACUCAAAGCACCAAAGAAAACUUAUUCAAUGUGUCUUUAUGGUGCAGAGUCCCGGCAAGCAGAGGUCUUUGUGUAUCUGUUGAAUAAAAAAAUUCCUCGUGAUGCGUAGUAACGUCAGUGAGGAAGACUGCA